UACAGAGGUCUCAAGCGUUGUUCGGAUUCAUUGGGCGUAAAGAGCGUGUAGGCGGCCCGAUUAGUCUGCUGUGAAAGUCCAGGGCUCAACCCUGGAAUGCCGGUGGAUACUGUCGGGCUAGAGUCCGGAAGGGGCGAGUGGAAUUCCUGGUGUAGCGGUGAAAUGCGCAGAUAUCAGGAGGAACACCAAUGGCGAAGGCAGCUCGCUGGGACGUGACUGACGCUGAGACGCGAAAGCGUGGGGAGCAAACAGG
rnacentral:rRNA from 1 species